CAGGCUCCGGGAGCUCCGGCGGCGGGAGGCGGCGCGCGUUGAACAGGAAGUGCGCGGCGUGCAGCGCCACCGUCCCACUCCCGCCGCCCCACGCCGCCCCGGGUCGCCGCGCCCGGUCCCCUGCGGCCGCCGCGGCUCGGGACUCGCUCCGAGCUAGUUUCAGAUCCAUCCCGCCUCCCCGCACCUCGGUGUGGGCCCGACGCCCCCGAAACACGCCCCCGCCCCUCCCCGCCGCGCCGCAGACGCCGCAGCGGGGAAGCCCACGGUCUCCCGGUGCUGAGUGGAGCAGCACGUGCUUCGCGAAACACCGCAGUCCCUGGGUCCCGCCGCCCCCGGCGCGUGCGCUCGAACCCGCCAGGAGAGCGGUGCGUGGCGCUGGGUGCGAUUAGGGUCUCGCCACCCCCACCCCAACCCACCCGGCUAUUUUCAGGUUCAGCAAGGUUUGCGCAGUGGAUCCGCGAAUGAAACCAGCUGGAAGAUCCCCAGUCCAGAGACAGAGCCUGACAGGGGCAGAUGUUCAGGGAGGACCCUGUGUGGGUUCAGCAACCAAGCAGCCAUCCUGGUGCCCCACAGGUGGGAGACAGAGCAACCAUCCUGGCC